UAGCUUACCAGCAUGGACCAACUUGAUGACAUUGCGAAAUCGACUUUGAAAGCUGCAAACAUAAGUGAGGAAGUCUUGGGCACCCUGUCUCGUGAGGACCUCCGGGAUCUCUUCCCAGGCCCAGAAAAUUUCUUUCGGAGAAAAGCGGUCUGGCAUGCCUGUCAUGCCUGUCGUGAUGAUUUCGAUGAGGAAGUUGGCAGAGACAGUGGUACCUCUGUUACCGAAUCACCUUUGCCACAAGCAUCCAUGCCACAAGCAUCCACUCCAGUGAAAGAG